rnacentral:rRNA from 1 species
CGACUGUACCGCAAACCGACACUGGUGCGCGAGAUGAGUAUUCUAAGGCGCUUGAGAGAACUCAGGAGAAGGAACUCGGCAAAUUGACACCGUAACUUCGGAAGAAGGUGUGCCUUUAGUAGGUGAACCUGUACAAGGGGAGCCCAAUGAGGUUGCAAAAAAUCGGUGGCUGCGACUGUUUAAUAAAAACACAGCACUCUGCAAACACGAAAGUGGACGUAUAGGGUGUGACGCCUGCCCGGUGCUGGAAGAUUAAAUGAUGGGGUGCAAGCUCUUGAUUGAAGUCCCAGUAAACGGCGGCCGUAACUAUAACGGUCCUAAGGUAGCGAAAUUCCUUGUCGGGUAAGUUCCGACCUGCACGAAUGGCGUAACGAUGGCCACACUGUCUCCUCCUGAGACUCAGCGAAGUUGAAAUGUUUGUGAUGAUGCAAUCUCCCCGCGGAAAGACGGAAAGACCCCAUGAACCUUUACUGUAGCUUUGUAUUGGACUUUGAACAGAUCUGUGUAGGAUAGGUGGGAGGCUUUGAAGUGUGGUCGCUAGAUCGCAUGGAGCCAACGUUGAAAUACCACCCUGGUGUGUUUGAGGUUCUAACCUAGGCCCGUAAUCCGGGUCGGGGACAGUGCAUGGUAGGCAGUUUGACUGGGGCGGUCUCCUCCCAAAGCGUAACGGAGGAGUUCGAAGGUACGCUAGGUACGGUCGGACAUCGUGCUAAUAGUGCAAUGGCAUAAGCGUGCUUAACUGCGAGACUGACAAGUCGAGCAGAUGCGAAAGCAGGACAUAGUGAUCCGGUGGUUCUGUAUGGAAGGGCCAUCGCUCAACGGAUAAAAGGUACUCUGGGGAUAACAGGCUGAUACCGCCCAAGAGUUCAUAUCGACGGCGGUGUUUGGCACCUCGAUGUCGGCUCAUCUCAUCCUGGGGCUGUAGCCGGUCCCAAGGGUAUGGCUGUUCGCCAUUUAAAGAGGUACGUGAGCUGGGUUUAAAACGUCGUGAGACAGUUUGGUCCCUAUCUUCCGUGGGCGCUGCAGAUUUGAGGAAGCCUGCUCCUAGUACGAGAGGACCGGAGUGGACACACCUCUGGUGUAUCGGUUGUCACGCCAGUGGCAUUGCCGAGUAGCUAUGUGUGGAAGAGAUAACCGCUGAAAGCAUCUAAGCGGGAAACUCGUUUCAAGAUGAGAUCUGCCGGGGCCUUGAGCCCCCUAAAGAGUCGUUCAAGACCAGGACGUUGAUAGGUCGGGUGUGGAAGCGCAGUAAUGCGUUAAGCUAACCGAUACUAAUUGCUCGUGCGGCUUGACCCU